GAUGAACGCUAGCGGGAGGCUUAACACAUGCAAGCCGAGGGGUAUAGUUAGCUUGCUAACUAGAGACCGGCGCACGGGUGCGUAACGCGUAUGCAACUUGCCCUACUGAAAAGGAUAGCCCUUCGAAAGGAGGAUUAAUACUUUAUAACAGAUUUAAUGGCAUCAUUAGAUUUUGAAAGAUUUAUCGCAGUAGGAUAGGCAUGCGUAAGAUUAGUUAGUUGGUGAGGUAACGGCUCACCAAGACGAUGAUCUUUAGGGGGCCUGAGAGGGUGAACCCCCACACUGGUACUGAGACACGGACCAGACUCCUACGGGAGGCAGCAGUGAGGAAUAUUGGACAAUGGGUGGAAGCCUGAUCCAGCCAUCCCGCGUGUAGGAUGACGGCCUUAUGGGUUGUAAACUACUUUUAUCUGGGGAUAAACCUACUUACGUGUAAGUAGCUGAAGGUACCAGAAGAAUAAGCACCGGCUAACUCCGUGCCAGCCGCCGCGGUAAGAC
rnacentral:rRNA from 1 species